rnacentral:rRNA from 1 species
GACGAACGCUGGCGGCGUGCUUAACACAUGCAAGUCGAACGGAAAGGCCCCUUUGGGGGUACUCGAGUGGCGCACGGGUGAGUAACACGUGAGUAACCUGCCCUUGACUUCGGGAUAACUUCAGGAAACUGGGGCUAAUACCGGAUAGGAAUCCUUGCUGCAUGGUGGGGGUUGGAAAGCUUCGGCGGUUUUGGAUGGACUCGCGGCUUAUCAGCUUGUUGGUGGGGUAGUGGCUUACCAAGGCUUUGACGGGUAGCCGGCCUGAGAGGGCGACCGGCCACAUUGGGACUGAGAUACGGCCCAGACUCCUACGGGAGGCAGCAGUGGGGAAUAUUACACAAUGGGCGGAAGCCUGAUGCAGCAACGCCGCGUGCGGGAUGACGGCCUUCGGGUUGUAAACCGCUUUCAGCAGGGGCGAAGCUUGUGGUGACGGUACCUGCAGAAGAAGCACCGGCUAACUACGUG